rnacentral:rRNA from 1 species
AGCGGUGGAGCAUGUGGUUUAAUUCGAUGCAACGCGAAGAACCUUACCUGGUCUUGACAUCCACAGAACUUUCCAGAGAUGGAUUGGUGCCUUCGGGAACUGUGAGACAGGUGCUGCAUGGCUGUCGUCAGCUCGUGUUGUGAAAUGUUGGGUUAAGUCCCGCAACGAGCGCAACCCUUAUCCUUUGUUGCCAGCGGUCCGGCCGGGAACUCAAAGGAGACUGCCAGUGAUAAACUGGAGGAAGGUGGGGAUGACGUCAAGUCAUCAUGGCCCUUACGACCAGGGCUACACACGUGCUACAAUGGCGCAUACAAAGAGAAGCGACCUCGCGAGAGCAAGCGGACCUCAUAAAGUGCGUCGUAGUCCGGAUUGGAGUCUGCAACUCGACUCCAUGAAGUCGGAAUCGCUAGUAAUCGUGGAUCAGAAUGCCACGGUGAAUACGUUCCCGGGCCUUGUACACACCGCCCGUCACACCAUGGGAGUGGGUUGCAAAAGAAGUAGGUAGCUUAACCUUCGGGAGGGCGCUUACCACUUUGUGAUUCAUGACUGGGGUGAAGUCGUAACAAGGUAACCGUAGGGGAACCUGCGGUUGGAUCACCUCCUUACCUUAAAGAAGC